rnacentral:lncRNA from 1 species
CCCUCAUUUCCUGUGUUGGGGUCACUUCAUUUUUCCUGUCUUGGUUUCCAUAAGAGGCAGUGGACCAGAUGGAGGAGAACUGAAGGAUGAUCUAUCAACUCUCCCUGCAACAUUUGGAGGAUUUUCACUUCCUUUUAAUCAGGAGCAGGCUGUUCUCAGAGGAUCACCUUGCCUCCCACUGCCCUACUUGCUCCCAAAGCAGACAGCGAGAAUUUGAUUUUACUAUCAGAGCUAGGACUGCGGGAAAAGGGCAGCAGGUCGGAAAAAGGACUGGUCCAGUGCUCCAUCCAUCAGGCUCUAAAUGUCUGUUGACUCGCUAAAUACUUUCAGAGGACUGUUUAGGCCACCACUGAGGAGGUGGGAAAAUGGCUUUACUGGAGCUGCACAUGAGCAAGGAGGCUUGGUUCUACAGGCUGGAAUGAAGUAAAGUGGGAGGAUGAAGGAUGUUUGAAAAACUGGGGGCGGAAGGCGCUAGGGAAAAGAGAA